rnacentral:RNase_P_RNA from 1 species
GCAGACUGGAUGACCGCGCGCUCCGGCGUGAGGAAAGUCCGGGCUCCAUAGGGCAGGGCGCCGGGUAACACCCGGUGGAGGCGACUCCAAGGAAAGUGCAACAGAAAUAAACCGCAUCCUUUUGGGUGCAAGGGUGGAAAGGCGAGGUAAGAGCUCACCGGCGUUAUGGCAACUUAACGCGUCCAUGUAAACCCCGCCUGGUGCAAGAUUGGUAUAGGGACAUUCAAUGGCGGCCCGUCACGUCCCUUGUAAUCGCAUGAGCCGUAUGGUAACAUACGGCCUAGAUAGAUGGUCAUCAAAACAGAACCCGGCUUACAGGUCUGCUCAA